UACGUAGGGGGCUAGCGUUGUCCGGAAUCAUUGGGCGUAAAGAGCGCGUAGGCGGCCAGAUAAGUCCGGUGUGAAAGUCACAGGCUCAACCUGUGAAUGCCGCUGGAAACUGUCUGGCUAGAGUCCGGGAGGGGCGAGUGGAAUUCCUGGUGUAGCGGUGAAAUGCGCAGAUAUCAGGAGGAACACCUGUGGUGUAGACAGCUUACUGGACCAUCACUGACGCUGAGACACGAAAGCGUGGGUAGCAAACAGG
rnacentral:rRNA from 1 species